GAUCGCUUGUUGCCCGGCGAACUAAACAUGUAAGGAAAAGGGAGAUGCUUGCGAGAAGCCAUUGAGUGCAGUCGAAUUUUCUGAAAAAUAAAGUUUUCAUUUACGAAGCUAAAAAGUUCUAUCAUUGUUAAAUUAUACAUAAUAUCUGAAUGUUCCGAAACAGGGUGGAUAAAACUGUGGAACACAUCGUGCUGGGGGAAACCCAGGGCCCGCCCAAGCGCGUAGAAACUUUUUAUUGACCGGAUAAUCCAAGACCCUAGAAUAAAGGAAAAAGGAAUUUCGUUGGAAAUUUUAAAAUGCGCGUCUCAACUCGUAUAUUGUGCGUACACAACUGCAGUCGUGUAUUAUAUUGAAAAUUAUUACAGUACUGAGCUGUAUAACCAAUUGCUUCUAUCAAUUUUUGAGACGUUGCAGAUAACUGGUCAAUGUCCAAUUUCAGCAAAAAUUUACUUGACAAUGAGAAUACACCCGAUAAGAGCAAACUAAAGAGAAAAAUAGAUAUGGUAAUGCAAGACUUGACAUCCGAAGCACGCGCACUUGCUAUAUCUUCGAAAUCUCGACGUAGAUCUGUUACCGGCUGUACUUUAAUUACAUCAGAUUUAAGUAAUUACGUAUUUGACGAUGAAAAUAUUACUGAACUGAUCGAUGCAUCAGAAGAUGAUAGCGAUGAAUCUGAUUAUGAAUACAAAAUCUAUCUUCAAAAGCCAGCAAAAAGGCCUAAGAUAAUAACUCAUGCAGAUGAGAUAGCAUAGCAUAAAUCGUGCAAAAGGCUUAAAAUGUAAAGGCAUACCAAUCGAAGCUGAAAUGAAAUUAUGCAAUCUGAUGCGUGAUCAUGCACAAUAAUUUUAAUUAUAAUACUUUUACUGAUAGAACAAUAAUGUACUUAUUGCAAUUAUUUGGCCAUCUGAGACAUUAUAGCAAUCUUUCUAUAGAUAAAUAAAUACGAAAUAAACCAUAUUUAUUUAUAAUUUAUAUUUCGAAUAUUGAAAUAUGUAUGAGGUAAUAAGUAAAAAAGAAAGUUAAUGUCUAGUAUGAAAUGAAAUAUUAUGAUAUUAUAGUGUUAUAUCCAAAGUGCGACUUAAUUUCGCUAUUUAUAUUAAAUAAAUUAUCAUGCUUUACCAGUACAGCUUUUUAUGAAUUGUUUAUAAAAUAUAAUAAUUAUAUACAAGUUAUCUUAAAAUAAUAAAUUCAA